GUGACUGUAGCUCAGUGGUAGAGUACUUGGUUAGCAAACACAAGGUCUGGGUUUGCUCCCCAGCAUCACA
rnacentral:tRNA from 1 species